AUGAGCGCCUGCGGGCCGGCGGGACGCGGGCGGUCUCCCUGGCGACCAGGGCGCGGCCCCGCCCCCGCCCGAGCCUCCCGCGCGGCCGAGCGCAGGCUCCAGAGGCGGCCGCGGGGUGUGCGCGCCGCCAGCGAUGGGCAAGUGGAGCCUGGCGCGGAAGCCCGGCCGCACGCUCGGGGUCCUGCUGCUGCUGCUCCUGGGCUUGCUGGUGCUCCGCAGGUUGGACUGGUAUCAUCUGGUCCCCGUGUGGCUGAGAAACCGGCAGUCAGGGCUGCAGGCCAACGGCCCGCGCUUCACAUUGGAGGACUCCACUUUCUGGAUCUUGGGGGGCUCCGUGCACUACUUCCGGGUGCCCCGGGAAUACUGGAGGGACCGCUUGCUGAAGCUGAAGGCCUGUGGCCUGAACACCCUCACCACGUGAGUCGGGCCCACCCCCAGCGGCCUCUGGUGUGUGCGGCAUGUACCCCGGCUUCCCCCCGGGCAGCCCAGACCUCGGGUUGGGGUGGGGGAGCGCGGCCCGGUCCUGAACCCAAGCGGCCCCCAAAGGGAAUCUUUGGGCCAAGCUCUGUGAGGAGGAGCUGGGCCCCCUGCCCGGGUCUGCGGGGCUCCACAGCCUCCUGCCCGGCCUGGUGCCCCCGUUCGUGCGGGUGAGGAGUCGGGCUGGCUGGGAGGCUCCAGAGGAACGGAAAGGGCCCACGGGGGAGCCCAGUGAAGGUGAGCUGGGGGGUGUACGACAGGAAGACGUGGCUGAUUUUUUUUUUUUAAAGAUUUUAUUUACUUAUUCAUGAGAGACACACAGAGAGAGAGGCAGAGGCACAGGCAGAGGGAGAAGCAGGCUCCAUGCAGGGAGCCCGACGCGGGACUCGAUCCCGGGACCCCGGGGUCACGCCCUGGGCUGAAGGCAGAUGCUCAACCACCGAGCCACUCAGACGCCCUGAUUUUCAAUUUCUUUUAAACCGACACUCCACCCCCCAAUGUAUCCAGCAAACGAAUGUGAUCCUUUUUCAAAAAGCUUCCUUGGGAAAGCUAUUUCCAGGCAAAAAUAGGUGAUUGCAGAACAAGGGUGUAGAUUUUCUUGAGUGGUUCAUGACGUAGCUCUGCAGACGGUCUCUGAAGAGAGUCACGGGAUUGGGCAGGGCCACCGCAGCGCAGUUCAGACCCGUGUGUGAUUUUCCAGAAGGGCGACCGAAGAGGACGCACGGGUCUGCGCAGGUCAUUGCGGCCCUGGGGGUGCCCUCAUUCCCAGGGCAGGACCCCUGAGGCCUCGGGAGCGUUGCCCGCUGAGCAUUGCCUCAUAGAAGCGAGAUCGUCUGUCUCAAGGGUGGGCGCCUCUUUCCCUUCACCUGUGCACAUGGCAGGUGGGGCCGGUGCCGGCUGGGGGGGCGCCCGUUACUGUCACGGUCACCCUGAACCUAUUCCUGGACUCAGGCCCCCUGCAGAAUUUCUUUAUUUUCCAAAGAUGAGAUAAAGAGAGAAUUCUUUGGAACCUAUGGGAUUGACUGAUGACUGAGGCUUCCUCUUAUCUUUUAACUUUUCCUCCUAGGAAGUUCCUUUUUCUUUUCUUUUCUGUGAUGAAGGAAGAGUGGGAGAGAUGGGGGGUGCACACUCAAGGUGGCGGUGGUCAUGUCGUAGGCUCCAGCCGAAUCUCCCU
rnacentral:lncRNA from 1 species